rnacentral:rRNA from 1 species
AGAGUUUGAUCCUGGCUCAGAUUGAACGCUGGCGGCAGGCCUAACACAUGCAAGUCGAGCGGCAGCACAGAGGAACUUGUUCCUUGGGUGGCGAGCGGCGGACGGGUGAGUAAUGCCUAGGAAAUUGCCCUGAUGUGGGGGAUAACCAUUGGAAACGAUGGCUAAUACCGCAUGAUGCCUACGGGCCAAAGAGGGGGACCUUCGGGCCUCUCGCGUCAGGAUAUGCCUAGGUGGGAUUAGCUAGUUGGUGAGGUAAUGGCUCACCAAGGCGACGAUCCCUAGCUGGUCUGAGAGGAUGAUCAGCCACACUGGAACUGAGACACGGUCCAGACUCCUACGGGAGGCAGCAGUGGGGAAUAUUGCACAAUGGGCGCAAGCCUGAUGCAGCCAUGCCGCGUGUAUGAAGAAGGCCUUCGGGUUGUAAAGUACUUUCAGUCGUGAGGAAGGUGGUGUUGUUAAUAGCAGCAUCAUUUGACGUUAGCGACAGAAGAAGCACCGGCUAACUCCGUGCCAGCAGCCGCGGUAAU